UUUAGUUCAAUCUCCUAAACUUUGUUUAUUUUAUUAACAGAAAACAAUUAACUACAAUUGUUUGCAUUUUCCAGGAGUAACUAGAAAUAGAAUGUAAAUAUCUAAUGGUGAAGGAUAAUACUAACAUUAUGAAUUUUGUUUCGGACCCCGCCAAGGGAGCAAGUGUAUGAAUAGAUCAAAAUGAGUCUUGUGGUCAUUUAAGGGAGAACAACAAUUGAGGUUACAAAUGAAGGUGUUGAUGCUGCAGGGCAUACAAUUGGUACAUCUUUAGAGGUCAUUUCCAACUUAGGAAGGUUCUCAACCCCAAGAGUACCACACCUUUAGCUAGUGAUGCUGGUUUCUUUUGCUGUGAUCAUGUCAGACUUGAGGCCCUUAGAGGUACCACACCUUUGCCGUGUCAUGCUAUGUUCAUUAGUAUGAUGAAAUAGAAAGGAAAUGGUAGGAAGUUUGGUUUGCUGUGAUCGGUUCCAUGAGAUUUAGAAAGUGAUGCAGGGAUGCCUUUGAUCAUGCUCAACAAGCUGCUAGAGUGUUCAAGAACAGAAGCAGCCUGCGGUCUACCCUAUUGGAAGCACCAUCCGUUCUUCAACCCAACUACGAGUGGAUGAGUUUCAUUGACUCGGGCCUGCUGGAACAUUGGAAUUGGCAGAGGGUGAAAAUGUUGGGUGACAACUGGUUCCUAGUGAUUCGGUUAAUCGAAGAUGAAGCAAACAAUGUUACUUUGGCUCAUUCAGCACGCUUCAGAUUAAUGUGAGCACCUCACCCAGCACUGUACCUAUUAUCAUCCUGGCUAUAUUCGUCGAGCCAAUUUUCCUCUUCACAAGAAAAAAGCCACUUAUCAAUCCUAUCGGUUACGUCUCUUCUGCUCAAAGCUUCAUCUUUAGCUUUCACUAUCUGUGCUUCAAUGUUAGCUAAUAAUUCACAAGGAUCAACCAGGCCAGAAUCUAUUGAUGCACUAGUUUUCUCGGCAACAGUACUUGUAUCAGGUUCGAUAUGAGUCAAUCUACAUAUUUCUUCUAACUCUGACCUCUUCUUAAAAACAAGUCCUUUCAUUCUACAUGCUUUUAGUUUCGCAAGUUUUUCCACUUCUGCCGAAGCCUUCUCUAUCACAUCUGUUGAAAGACCGCCUCUUUCGGUGAUUUCUGAUGGCGAAGUUGCAACAAUAGAAGUAAUCCUCAGAAAAGUGUUCCUCUCUUCUUUUGACGUGUCCAUCAAAUUCCAAAGUUCGAAUAGGUUAGCGACAAUAUCCUUCAACUUCUGUAUUCUGACUUUUCUUUCGGUUUUUAACUUGAGAAUGGUCUUCUCUAAACCUUCCAAUGUGCUAUUGCUAAUAUUAGUUGAUUGCUCCACCUGAGUUCCGUGCAAGCUCGGAUGUACAUCGUCUACUGUUUGACCGAAAUCCAAUCCAAGAACACCACAGAGAGUAUGCACCUCAUUAACACUGAUAGAAAGAUAGAUCAAGUGGUGGGCCUGGACAGUGGGCUCAAACCAAAGGAUUGGAGGGUUUACAAGAGAAGUAAAAGAAUAAAAGAAUAAAAGAAAUAAUCAUAGGAGUUUGUUAGAGUUAUUAUAGGAAUUAGUUAUUACAAAAGUUUGUUAUUUUAAUUAGGGGGGUUUGUUUCGAUAAAAUAGGAAUAAGCUUGUGGCUAUAAAAGAGGACAGAAAGGUAGGAUUUAGGUAUCAAGGAAAUCAAUUAGGAUUCACCAUCUUGGUGAGGGAAGCACUGUGUGCUUAGGGGCUGAUUGGUAUUCACCAUCAGUUGUUACUUUCAUUAUUAUUUUACAAUCGAUUCAUUCUUUUAUUAUUCCAUUCAAUUAUUCUCUAUUUCUCCCAUAUAUUCAUAUA